rnacentral:rRNA from 1 species
GUCUACAGCCAUAUCACCCUGAACACGACUGAUCUCAUCUGAUCUUGGAAGCUAAGCAGGGUCAGGCCUGGUUAGUAGUUGGAUGGGAGAGGGAAUACUGGGUGCUGUAGGCU